GAAGAAGAAGAAGAAGAAGAAGAAGAAGCAGCAGCAGCAGCAGCAGCAGCAGCAGCAGCAGGAGGAGGAAGACGGAGGAAGAAGAAGACGAUCCAGACUCCGUGUGGCUUUAAACAGCCACAGCCCAGACACUCUCACCGACUCAACGUCAUCCUCUGUGACCAUCACUGUUACUGAUGUGAGUACAGACACCCAUGCGUACACACACAGAAGCACACACACACUCAGAGGCACCACACACCCACAUACAACAGAGAGACUCACACACACUUACAGACACCCACACAUUCCCAUACAACACACAGAGACAUACACACACAGAAACCCACACAUUCACAACACAUAGAGAGACUCACACACAGACACACAGACACACACCUCAGUGCAUUUACUAUUACUCAUAUAUACAUGUGUUUAGAGCUGACCACUUGAGCCUGGAUAACCAGCCCGGCAAGAGUCUUGUCCCUAGAGAGUCCUGGAUUCUCCCUCCCUCCGAAGCUAUGGAAUGCCAUAGCUCUUUACUGCGGGUGGGGCAGGAUGAGAUUUCCAUCCCCAUUGGUAUGUUGACUGGUGAGGUCAUGAUUCAGGUUUUGUUUAGGCAACCACAUUGUUGAGAUGUCAUGGGUAAGUCUAGAAGACGUGAAAUCACAGCAGGCUCCCAGUCCACUGCAACUACAGACAAUUAAUCAGAAAGGAUGUAGAUGCAUACAGCAUACUUAACAAGGUCAGCCUAACAGGCGGUCACUGACGUGUCCAUCCCGAGACCUGCCACGCCCUUUCUGCACAGAGAGAACAUACUACUGAAACUGCUUCCUAAGCAUAAGCUUAGGCUCGACAAAUUUUUGCCCACAGUACUGGUUGUCAAUCAGAUUUUCUGGUCAAAGCUAUCUAAUUAGAAAUCAAUCAAUUAGAAUCAACAGAAAGAUAACAGGAAAAUCUUCAACGUUUAGAAGCCAUGCACAACGCUGACAACCCACAGGCUAACAAGAACUUUGGAGUCUCGGAGUGUGGUGCUGCUUCCAGCUACUUUAACACACUAAGAAACAUUUUUUUCGUGUAAUCCUAAGUAGAUCAGUUAUAUUUCAAAGCAUUACUAAUACCUAAACUAGGUACAAUGUUUGCAUUGUGCAUGCAUACUUUACAAAACGGUUGUUAGCUUACAGUUGGAGAUGCACUACUCCAUUAAAGCUAUAGUGUGUAGGUCACUUCA